AUUUUAGGGAAAUAUUUCAGGAAUGAUUUAAUCACUUGAUUUAUUAGGCUUACUCUGGGUGGUCAAUAGAGGCAAAACAAACAUUCUGUCCAUUUUUUAACCCCCCCUUUUUUUUUUUUUUUAGAAGCUUCCCUGCAAGAAAGUGACACAAAAGCUGUUUAAGCAACAUGCUGCAGCUGAGAAAAGACAAUGUCUUGAAAGGAUCUUGAAUUGCAGCCUAUACCUACUCCUUUGCUUCAAUGCAGCAACACUUAGUCUUCACCUAUUGGUCUGUGAAGUGUGAAUUCAUGAUGCGUGACACUGGUAUUAUUAUUAUAUUUGCUUGGUUGAAGAGGACUUGAUGUGGAAAAACACGACAAGCCCAGAAUAUCUUGCCAUGAUGAGGAUUGAGUUUCUUCUGCAAAUAUGGGGAGGAAAGGAGAGAACUGACUUGUAACUCACAAUAAGUGCUCCAGACAAAGCCAAAUGCAGUUUUGGGUGACUGGACAUCUAGCUGGAGCCAGGAUCUCAGGUAUAUGAAAUGGAACAAGAAACAUAGGAAAUACUGGCCGUCAAUCCUUUUUACCUCAGAUUUAUUAAGAGGUAAAGGCUCUGGCACUCUACACCCUGAGCCCUGCAUGCAUCCAGAGAAAAUCAGUGAUGACCACAGAGCUCAGAAACCUCAGAGCAAGGUCUGGGCUUCAUUACCCUGGAUUCCUGAGAGUGAGGUAAGCAGGAAGAAUCGUUACAUGGACCCAUCUAGCAUAAUGGCCUUGUGGUUACAUCUGGGUGUACAUUUUUCUGCCUUUGCACUUAAGGAACGUUUGCUUAUGUCCUGCAGCCUCAGAUCUUCAGCAAUCCUUUGGUGUACUAAAAUAGGGCAUGAGCCUCCAGUUUCCACCUCAUUCCAGACAUGA
rnacentral:lncRNA from 1 species